GGGAGCUUGCUCCCGGAUGUUAGCGGCGGACGGGAUGAAGUAACACGUGGGUAACCUGCCUGUAAGACUGGGAUAACUCCGGGAAACCGGAGCUAAUACCGGAUAGUUCCUUGAACCGCAUGGUUCAAGGAUGAAAGACGGUUUCGGCUGUCACUUACAGAUGGACCCGCGGCGCAUUAGCUAGUUGGUGAGGUAACGGCUCACCAAGGCGACGAUGCGUAGCCGACCUGAGAGGGUGAUCGGCCACACUGGGACUGAGACACGGCCCAGACUCCUACGGGAGGCAGCAGUAGGGAAUCUUCCGCAAUGGACGAAAGUCUGACGGAGCAACGCCGCGUGAGUGAUGAAGGUUUUCGGAUCGUAAAGCUCUGUUGUUAGGGAAGAACAAGUGCAAGAGUAACUGCUUGCACCUUGACGGUACCUAACCAGAAAGCCACGGCUAACUACGUGCCAGCAGCCGCGGUAAUACGUAGGUGGCAAGCGUUGUCCGGAAUUAUUGGGCGUAAAGGGCUCGCAGGCGGUUUCUUAAGUCUGAUGUGAAAGCCCCCGGCUCAACCGGGGAGGGUCAUUGGAAACUGGGAAACUUGAGUGCAGAAGAGGAGAGUGGAAUUCCACGUGUAGCGGUGAAAUGCGUAGAGAUGUGGAGGAACACCAGUGGCGAAGGCGACUCUCUGGUCUGUAACUGACGCUGAGGAGCGAAAGCGUGGGGAGCGAACAGGAUUAGAUACCCUGGUAGUCCACGCCGUAAACGAUGAGUGCUAAGUGUUAGGGGGUUUCCGCCCCUUAGUGCUGCAGCUAACGCAUUAAGCACUCCGCCUGGGGAGUACGGUCGCAAGACUGAAACUCAAAGGAAUUGACGGGGGCCCGCACAAGCGGUGGAGCAUGUGGUUUAAUUCGAAGCAACGCGAAGAACCUCACCAGGUCUUGACAUCCUCUGACAACCCUAGAGAUAGGGCUUUCCCUUCGGGGACAGAGUGACAGGUGGUGCAUGGUUGUCGUCAGCUCGUGUCGUGAGAUGUUGGGUUAAGUCCCGCAACGAGCGCAACCCUUGAUCUUAGUUGCCAGCAUUCAGUUGGGCACUCUAAGGUGACUGCCGGUGACAAACCGGAGGAAGGUGGGGAUGACGUCAAAUCAUCAUGCCCCUUAUGACCUGGGCUACACACGUGUGGCUACGGACAGAACAAAGGGCUGCGAGACUGCAAGGUUUAGCCAAUCCCACAAAUCUGUUAUCAGUUCGGAUCGCAGUCUGCAACUCGAAUG
rnacentral:rRNA from 1 species